AACUCUAUCGAAACUGCAAUCCUAUACUGAAGAGAUUUAAAGAUUUUUGCAUAGUGAAGUUUUAUUAUUAAGUUGCGGUAUUUGUAUUAAUAUUUACUCGGUUUGUAAAACGGCCAAGCUAUUUACUAUUUAUCCUCACACUGAAUGCGCAUGUCAAGCCUUUUAGUAAAACGCAAUCUACAACCAAUUGUGUAUUACCAGUUAGGUUUAAUUACUUUGUACCUAAAAGUAUUCAGCAUAUGCCAAAUAUUUUAGAUUGAGAUAAAUUUAAAAGACUAACGAGUCAACAUUGGUCUAGAUUGCAAAUGAUAGGACUAUUUUAUUUAUGCGGAUGAACUGAUUAUACCCAAGAUUAUUAAACUGACGUGACGGAUUAAUACGUCGAUACCAAAAGCAACAGACAAGGUUUUACACGGUUUAAACAACCUUCUUUGUUUAAAAGAGAUACAAGAUGACCUCAAAAGGUUACUGUUGAAAAUGAUGGAAAUCACGUUUAAAAAUCUUUUCAAAUAUGACUGGUAUGUUGAACAACAAGGGAGGUGCUUGUGAGAGAUAUUUUGUGAAAUACUGAAAUAAACAACAAAAAAUUAUUGUUGAUUGAUAAAAAACUAAAGGUAUUUAUUUUUUUACAAUUCUGAUAUAAGAUUCCACUAUAAUACCCA
rnacentral:lncRNA from 1 species